AUUGAACGCUGGCGGCAGGCUUAACACAUGCAAGUCGAGCGAGCGGCGGACGGGUGAGUAAUGUCUGGGAAACUGCCUGAUGGAGGGGGAUAACUACUGGAAACGGUAGCUAAUACCGCAUACCAUACGAUGUGCCCAGAUGGGAUUAGCUAGUAGGUGGGGAAAUGGCUCACCUAGGCGACGAUCCCUAGCUGGUCUGAGAGGAUGACGAGCCACACGGGAACUGAGACACGGCCCAGACUCCUACGGGAGGCAGCAGUGGGGAAUAUUGGACAAUGGGCGAAAUCCUGAUCCAGCCAUGCCGCGUGUGUGAAGAAGUUCUUCGGAUUGUAAAUCUCUUUAAGUUGGGAGUCGUUACCAACAGAAUAAGCACCGGCUAACUUCGUGCCAGCAGCCGCGGUAAUAC
rnacentral:rRNA from 1 species